AUGAGAUAAGGAGAAGAAAUUGAUAUCGAAACUUAAAGAGACGGCAUUAUCAUUGAAUUAAAUAAAAUUCUGUUGUGGAUCAGGGAAAAAUAUUAAAUAGGAGACUGAAUUUUUUAAGCUGCAAAAAACUCGAAAUUAUAGAGUUUUAUAUACUGCUGGAAGAACUCCAUCAACUGUCC